UUGACCUCAAAUCAGGUAGGACUACCCGCUGAACUUAAGCAUAUCAAUAAGCGGAGGAAAAGAAACUAACAAGGAUUCCCCUAGUAACUGCGAGUGAAGCGGGAAAGCUCAAAUUUAAAUCUGGCGGUCUUGCGGCCGUCCGAGUUGUAAUCUGGAGAAGCGUUUAUCCGCGUCGGACCGUGUACAAGUCUCUGGAAGGGAGCUCGUAGAGGGUGAGAAUCCC
rnacentral:rRNA from 1 species